rnacentral:rRNA from 1 species
AUACGUAGGGGGCGAGCGUUGUCCGGAAUGAUUGGGCGUAAGGGGCGCGUAGGCGGCCCGGUAAGUCUGGAGUGAAAGUCCUGUUUUUAAGAUGGGAAUUGCUUUGGAUACUGUCGGGCUUGAGUGCAGGAGAGGUAAGUGGAAUUCCCAGUGUAGCGGUGAAAUGCGUAGAGAUUGGGAGGAACACCAGUGGCGAAGGCGACUUACUGGACUGUAACUGACGCUGAGGCGCGAAAGUGUGGGGAGCAAACAGGAUUAGAUACCCUGGUAGUCCACACUGUAAACGAUGAAUGCUAGGUGUAGGGGGUAUCGACCCCUUCUGUGCCGCAGUCAACACAAUAAGCAUUCCGCCUGGGGAGUACGGCCGCAAGGUUGAAACUCAAAGGAAUUGACGGGG